rnacentral:ncRNA from 1 species
AAUAUAAUUCCACCGGGAAUAACGCUCAAGCGUUUUAAGCAUUUCAUUAGGUCUAAGAAGAAAUGCUUAACUCACUUGAUUUUUU